AUGCAGAAAAUAAGUGACGCUGGCCAAAGCGAUGUUUGUGAGGAGUCUCCUCUCCUUGUAGAGCUCUGUGCAUGGACACUUUUGAGACAGAAAUUGCAGAAAGGGUUGCUGAGCAAAUAACCUGGAACAGCCUCUACUGACCACUAGAGAUUGGAAUCUGCACUCCCUAAGAAAUGAAGGGGCCUUAGGGACUGAGAGAGACAGCCCAUUCCCGCCUCCUGGAGACCCAGGUUAUGAUGACGUUGAAGCUGGCAUCCCUGAGACAUCAAUAUAAGAAUCGCUGAGUUCCAAUCAAAUAUCAUCUUGCCUGUGUCUCCAGUGUAAAUUAAGCAAGGUGUGACCUAAGACAAUGAAAUGGACAUUUACAAGCAAGGUAGACAAAGCCAUCAUGGGGGAAUUGAACAAUUAACCAUCUUGAUGGGGGAUGGAGGCUACACUCCCAGAAAGCCUCCCUACCUCUUGAAGCAGGGUCAAUGGACUUUGAGAAGAUAUAAGCAAAGGCAAAAAGUUGUUUUGUCAUCUAUCCCAGGCAACAGGUCACAGCACUUUCAAGCCUAUGACAGUUGGGUCCUGUGGUGUGGGAGACCAGGGAUGCUGAUGACUUGAUGUAAGUUAUGAAACUGAUCAGGCAAAGAUUGUAACUUUCUAGUAUUAAAUUUCAGUCACCUGAAAGUAUGUUUUGUUUUAUUUGUAACCUUUCCUAUCUGUUACUUGUAAUCACUCCAACU